rnacentral:rRNA from 1 species
UACAGGGGGGGCAAGCGUUGUUCGGAAUUACUGGGCGUAAAGGGCUCGUAGGCGGCCAACUAAGUCCGACGUGAAAUCCCAAAGCUUAACUUUGGAACUGCGUCGGAUACUGGAUGGCUUGAAUUCGGGAGAGGGAUGCAGAAUUCCAGGUGUAGCGGUGAAAUGCGUAGAUAUCAGGAGGAACACCUGUGGCGAAAGCGGCUCACUGGACCAUAACUGACGCUGAUGCACGAAAGCUAGGGGAGCAAACAGG